rnacentral:sRNA from 25 species
GCCGUGCUGACCAGACCACCCUGAGUUUACUCUCAUCGUAGCCGUUAUUUGAGUCACGACACCCUGGAAUGCGAAGCUAGUUCCCCGCUCUGUC